GCUAUUAAUUUUGAACAAUGUAAAUUUCGUCCAACCGACCUUCCUCUUCUCGCCUCUUCGCUUCAUUUACUCUAGGUGCUAUGGCCAUGGAGAACUGAUGGGUAUCUCGACAGAGUCCCAGAAGCAAUUUGCUUUUAUCAUCGCAUCCACUGUAAAGGGCGAAGACACGCGGUGUUUCCUCCUCAGCGUAGACUCGCACCCCGCGAGCGCAAAUCGCAAGGAGUAUGCGUCCCGGACCUGCCUCGUUCUUGCUUCUUCGUAACCGAUAGAGGUGAGCGUUGAGCGGCGCCUCCAGCAGCACCGCCUCCCGGAUGUAUUGCAGUUCUGCCUCCUCCCUCGAUAAACCUCGGUUGUCCCUGUGCUGUGCCGCAAGCACAGCGAGCACAUUUG
rnacentral:misc_RNA from 1 species